rnacentral:rRNA from 1 species
GACGAACGCUGGCGGCGUGCCUAAUACAUGCAAGUCGAGCGCUUCUUUCCUCCCGAGUGCUUGCACUCCAUUGGAAAGAGGAGUGGCGGACGGGUGAGUAACACGUGGGUAACCUACCCAUCAGAGGGGGAUAACACUUGGAAACAGGUGCUAAUACCGCAUAACAGUUUAUGCCGCAUGGCAUAAGAGUGAAAGGCGCUUUCGGGUGUCGCUGAUGGAUGGACCCGCGGUGCAUUAGCUAGUUGGUGAGGUAACGGCUCACCAAGGCCACGAUGCAUAGCCGACCUGAGAGGGUGAUCGGCCACACUGGGACUGAGACACGGCCCAGACUCCUACGGGAGGCAGCAGUAGGGAAUCUUCGGCAAAGGACGAAAGUCUGACCGAGCAACGCCGCGUGAGUGAAGAAGGUUUUCGGAUCGUAAAACUCUGUUGUUAGAGAAGAACAAGGACGUUAGUAACUGAACGUCCCCUGACGGUAUCUAACCAGAAAGCCACGGCUAACUACGUG